GGAAGCGGCGGGGCUCGGCGGCACCGCCCCUCGCGGCAGGCACGGCCCCGAGCCCCCCGGCUGCGAGCACGGCACGGCGCGGCCCCGCCGCCUGCUGCCCUGCGCUGCGGAGCGGAGCGCGCGUCAGGGCACGGGGCGGUGCGCCGCGUUCCGUUCCGGGGGAGGAGGCGGGAGGACCGCGCGGCGUCGGAGCCCCGGGCAGGGCACGCCGCUGCUUGUAGCCCUGCCGGCCCGGGCUGAACGGGCUGCCGUGUCUGCGUGCUGACCGCGAGCGGAACGCCUGCGUUUGCUCACGCUGCAGACGGGGGUGGUUGCGGUUUGCAAACUCCCGACUCUCGCCGUUGCUGCGGAGAAAACCAGAAGAACCAGCGGUGACUGGCAUGGCAGCAGCUAGCGGCAUUUCUUGGGAGAAGCACACGCGGCACGGCCAGGCCUGCUGAUAUUAGCACCUUCAGGGCUAAGGCAGAGCCUGGAAUGGAUAACAGGACAUCGGUGCAGAGGGGGCGGGAAGGGAGAAUGAUGCCAGCUGCAAUCACGGCCGUAUCAGAAAGGCUGAUAUUCUCCCCAGCACGUCCUUGAAAGAAUAAAGCACUUGGGGAUGGCAUGAGACCUGGAACAGUCCUGUAAGCACAGCGUGUUGCUACUGCACAUCUCACAUACAGGGAAAUACACAACGAAACGAAGCAGUGGGGGAACAGAAUGACAGAGAUGACACAAGACAACAUAUUUCAACUGCUAAGAGUUGUGCAGGAUGAAGCACCUGAGGCAGGCAGAGCGUGAUUCCUGCCCAGCUGUCCAUGGCAGGAGUUCCAGGAGCAGCAGGCACACAAACCCUUGGCAGCUCACUGGUGGAGGGAGGAUGACUUCCAUGCUCACUUCUGAGUCCACCCAACAGAUUGUUCGUAAGAUGUCAAAAUAAAUCAGUAAAUAAAUAGAGGUGGAGUGUAGUCCUUGCUUUAGGUAACCAGUUGUAGAACAGCCCUUUCAAUCCACAGCACCACUUGCAAUGAGUGGGAAAAGAAAGGAAAAAGCAGCAAUUGCAAUUCUUUUUUA